CAAGCAGAGGCCAAGACUCACUGACUGAGCAGGACCAGGCAGCCUCGGCAGACAAGAGGCCGGCAGAGGGCAAGGCUGAGAGCCCGCUCAAGGGCCGACUGGUGACCUCAUGGCGGAUGCCCGGGGACCGGCCCACGCU
rnacentral:lncRNA from 1 species